UAAGUCUGGUAAAACUAAUUUUAUGUCUACGGGUAAGACUUUCGCUGAAACUCCAUCGAGCUGUUUGAUUUCGGUUAGUGGUCGUAUUUCAACAACUAGUUUGUCUUCGUGGUUGUCAUCUUUGCAUGUGCUUCCAAAACAAGCGUGUUUUGAAGUUAUGUGGUGUGUGGGAGGAUAGUGGAUGGUAUACAGUUUAUCGAAUGUUAAGUGAUAGUGGCGGACAUUAUUUGAUCUGAAAUUAAAAUGAACUGGCUUCAGAGAAGAUUGAUUCAACCUGUACAACAACUCUACCCAGCUUUGCAGCUGACAGUUGUCAGAUAUAGAUACCAUGCAGAGAAGGUAGCUCAGGGUCCACUGAAAAGAAGAUACGGAUAUAAAGACAAAAUCCUGCAGAAAGGAACAUUACCUCAUGUUGAUGGCAGGAGGCUUCCAAUGCCUGAAUACAAACCAAAAAAUGCCUGGAGCGAGAGACGAGCAUUAUUUGGUCAAAAUGAUUAUAUAGAUAUUCUUGGAAAUGAGAAACUUCAUCCAACAAGGAUCUUGUACAAUGUUCCGUCUUGGCUCCGUGGUGUUAGUGGAAAUGAAUAUCGGAUUUUGCUUCGAAAGAGGAAAAUGCUGCAGCAUGGUAUUUUUCCAAUUGCAAGACCAACAAAGUGGUAUGAAUUGGAGAAAAGAAUACAAUACUUGUAUAGAUUUAUGAACAGAAAAACAAAAACGUAUGCUUCAAAUAGUUGAUCUUGUGCUGUGUUUCAGAUUAUGUAUUUGUGCGUAACAGUCUAGCAUGACAGUAUUCUGAGAAAUACUGCAUUAAAAAAAUGUUAAUACUUACAAGUUAAUUAUGAUACUGUUGUAAACUUCAUUUUCCUCUGAAAAACAAUGCAUACAGUAGCAGUAUUUGUUGUGUAUUGGGAGAAUAAUUCUUGUACAUUACGCCUAAAUAAAUAAUGUAUGCUGUUGUUA